AUUAAGGCAUUAGUUUCUCUAAGAAGACAGAUCUGAAGAAUGUGCAAGAAAAUGAGAAAAAAAUAAAAACAAGGUCUCUAUUGGCUUUCCUGAACGUAAGAAAAAGAAUCUUCAGAGAAAAAGGAAAGAGGAAGAGGGGAGGGGGCUCAGAAAACAAUAACAGCAGCCUAUCUACAUUGUGCUUUACAGUCUACAGUGUGCAUUCAUAUUUAACACUUUGGACUGAACAUUUGACACUUUGGAGUGAAUAGAUAUAAUUAUCCUCAGUUUACAGGUGGGAAAAUGAAGGCACAGAAAAGGUAAGAGAUGUGCUCAAGGUUUUACAACUCAGAUUCAAACCAAUCCUUUUGACUAAAGGCUUCAAAAAAUGUAUUUUGACUAAUCAGAGAACUUAUCUUUACAUUUGUAUUGCUAAUUAUAACCCACAUACCAUAUAUAAAAAACUGAAAGUACAACUUGGAAAUGAUUGUAAAGCAACCCCCAUGUAAUUCCUUAGGGAAAGAAAUAAAACACUCUCAACACCUGUGUACAUUUUCUUAAAUGUAGCCCUCUCCUCCACUAAGAGUAACCCUCUUCUGACUUCCAUGGUUCGCUUUGUAGUUUUUCCACCCGUGUUCUGAAAUAACAGUUCAGUUUUGCCUAUUUUUGAAUGUUAUUCAAAUGAAAUCAUACAGUAUGUGCUAUUUUAUAACUGGCUGAUUUUGAUCAAUAUAAUAUGAGUGUGUGUCACCCACAUUGUAGCAUUAGUUGUAGUUCAUUAACACUUCUGCAUAGUAUUUCAUUGCGUGAAUACACUAUAAUUUAUUUAUCCCUUUGUAUUGUUGAUGGAUAUUUAUGUUGCUUCUAGUUUUUGCUCUAAGGAAUGCUGCUAUGAGCAUUUUUGCACAUGGGUCUUUUACACAUAACUUAUAUUUCUGUAAGGCAUAUAGAUCUAACAUUGGAAUGUUGUGUUGUAAGGUAUCUCCAAUUUUGCUAGAUUACUCCAAAUUUUUUUCCAAAAUGAUUGAUCGUAUCAAUUAACAGCCUUUUAUUCCACACUCAUUCAGAAUAUGAGAUUUCUCAUUGUUUCAUUUUAUCUUUCCUUUUUUAUGACAUUCCUGCUGUCAUUUGCACAUAUAUUGGGUUGUCUUACUUUUUCAUAUUACAUCUUUGUAGUAAUGCUUUCUGUGUCCUUAGAAGGAUCCCUUUGUUGGUUAUAUUUUUUCAACUAUAUUCUUUCAUCCUGUGACUUACCUUUUACAUUUCUUAAUAGUUCUUUAAAUGAAAAUAAAUUCUUAAUUUAAAAAGUCAAAUUUAUUCAUUUUUCCCCUUAUAGUUAGUGCUUCUUAUGAAAUUAAGAAAUAUUUUCUUGUCCUGAGAGCAUAAAUAUAUUUGUUUUUUGAGACAGAGCUUUGCUCUGUCACCCAGGCUGGAAUGCAGGGCCAUGAUUAGGCUCAUUGCAUCCUCAACCUCCCAGGCUCAAGCACUUUGGCCUCCCAAAGUGCUGGGAUUACAGGAAUAAACCACCGUGCCUGGCUGAUAAUAUAUUAUUUUAUUAUCUGAAAGCUUUGUUGUUUUGUGUUUCAAACACAGGUCUAUAAUCUACCUGGAUUAAUUUUUGUGACCAUGUGAUGUAGGGCUCCAAUUUUAUUUUUACCUAUAUGGGCAACUUGUUUCACCAUUAUUUAUUGAAAAGACUGAUCUACUUUGUUAAUGUUGUAUAAAUCAAGGGAUCCUACAUGCAUUUGUCUGUUUCAAGGUUUUCAAUUAUCUCUCAUUUGGUCUAUAUAUAAAUCUGUGCAAUUGCCAUAUUCUUUUUUUUUUUUUUUUCCUGAGAAAGGGUCUUGCUGUGUUACCCAGGCUGGAGUGCAGUGGCGCGAUCAUGGCUCAUUGUAACCUCAGCCUCCUGAGCUCAAGAGAUUCCCCCCACCUCUGCCUCCUGAGUGGCUUGGACUACAGGCGCAUACUACCAUGCCUGGCUAAUUGUAUUUUUUUGUAGAGGUGAGGUUCUGCUGUAUUGCCCAGGCUGAUCUUAAACUCCUAAACUCAAGCUAUCUUCCAGCUCAAGCUAUCUUCCAGCCUCCUCUUCCCAAAGUUCUAAGAUUACAGGCAUGAGCCACCGUGCCCAGACCAUAGUUUUUAUUACUAUAAUUUUAUAAUUUCCUAAAUAAAUUUGCUAAAAUUUGUUUUUUUCUCCAAGAAUAUCUUUUCUACUUUUAGACUUUUGUGUUUCCAUAUAAAUGUUAAGAUAAUCUUGUCAAUUUAGAGAAAAGCCCAUUGAGAUAUUAAUGGAGAUUUCAUUGAAUUUAUUCAUUUUUUGACCAUACGGGGUCUUCCAAUCCAUAAACAUGACAUCUCUCUCUCUCUCUCUCUCUCUCUCUGUUAAUGAAGUUUUAUAUCUCUCCAUAGAAAUCUUGUUCAUUAUUUUGUCAUGUUUUGUAUAGGGCACCCUUUUACAAAUAUCACUUUAUAAACAUUUGUUGCUAUUUUAUAGAGAUAUGAUCGAUUUUGCAAUUGGUUGUUUAGUUUCCCUCAACCUGCCAAGUUCUUUAAUUAAUUUUAAUAUUUUAUAUAUAGAUUUUGUUGGAUUUUCCAGGAACACAAACAUAUAACUUAAAAUAAUAAGUUUUAUCUAUUUGCUUCAUAUGUAUGAAAUAUUAGAUUUUUUCAUCUAUUCACUACUCCUGUGCAAUAGGAUUAUACAACCCAGAACAUUGUCAUAUGACUUGCUUGUGCAUCCCUUUCCACCCGCCAGUAGCUGUGGGAGGGCUAUACUUUCUGCAUCAAUGACUUGAUCAUUUGAAAUGGAACAUGGUUUGGGUGAUAUCAUGUGAAUGAAUAUAGUGUGUGCCAUGUUUGAACAAAGGAUUUAACUGCCAUCUUGUAGAUUGGUUUAGAUUCUUUUGCACCUGUAUGUCCCCUGUCUGAGGAAGAACAUAACUCGAAUGGGGCUGGUGCUUAACCUGGGGCUAAGAAUAAGAAGACAUGUGAAGCUAAGCACAGCUGUGUAGAACUGCAAUCAACCCGCAACCUUCAUGUCAUGUAAGCAAGAAAUAAGUGUUGCUGAAAUUAUUGGAACUGUUAUUAUAGUAAAAGUUGAAAUAAAAUACAAUCAUUUUAGCUUUUACUUUUGCAGCAGUUAUUAAGCUAUUGUCUUUCUGCUCUAAAUUUACCCUUCUAUUCUCUGCUCCGUGGGACUGAGGUGAAGCUCAGCAUAGCACAUUUUUUCUUUGCAACUUGGUUCUGCAUUAUAUUUCUUCAAUAGUGGGCCUUAGGAAGAGAUUUUCCGGUUGGAGAUGAGGGGGAAGGAAUUUGUUCUUUCUUCCUUGCUCCCUGUUUCACUCCAGCAAUGGCUCUUCACCCCAGCAGUGGCAUUUGGUUUCAAUAGCAGUUGGUUCCAAUGUCCAGCAUUCCCUGACACUCCCAGAUCCAACCCCAUUAUAAAUACUUGGAGGUAUUAACACAAACUGGAGGUAUUACCUGUGGCCUAUUUUCAGAGGUCUGAGUCCCUGAUCC